rnacentral:rRNA from 1 species
GACGAACGCUGGCGGUGUGCUUAACGCAUGCAAGUCGAACGGAAAGGCCCUGCUUUUGUGGGGUGCUCGAGUGGCGAACGGGUGAGUAACACGUGAGUAACCUGCCCUUGACUUUGGGAUAACUUCAGGAAACUGGGGCUAAUACCGGAUAGGAGCUCCUGCUGCAUGGUGGGGGUUGGAAAGUUUCGGCGGUUGGGGAUCGACUCGCGGCUUAUCAGCUUGUUGGUGGGGUAGUGGCCUAGCAAGGCUUUGACGGGUAGCCGGCCUGAGAGGGUGACCGGCCACAUUGGGACUGCGAUACGGCCCAGACUCCUACGGGAGGCAGCAGUGGGGAAUAUUGCACAAUGGGCGGAAGCCUGAUGCAGCAACGCCGCGUGCGGGAUGACGGCCUUCGGGUUGUAAACCGCUUUCGCCUGUGACGAAGCGUGAGUGACGGUAAUGGGUAAAGAAGCACCGGCUAACUACGUG